CAGUAUUAAAGGUGUCGCCUGCCCAGUGAAAUUUUAACGGCCGCGGUAUCCUAACCGUGCAAAGGUAGCGUAAUCAUUUGUCCUCUAAAUAAGGACCAGUAUGAACGGCUAAAUGAGGGCCAACCUGUCUCCUUUAACCUAUCAGUGAAACUGAUCUGCCAGUACAAAAGCUGGCAUAAGAUUAUAAGACGAGAAGACCCUGUGGAGCUUUAAACUUUUACCCAAGCAGGCCAACCCAAGGCCCACCCUGGCCUAACAGUUUUCAGUUGGGGCGACUUCGGAACAAAACAAAACUUCCGAGCGAUAGACCUUAAUCUUCCACCAAGACAUACAAGUCUUCACACCGAUCCAGUAAUACUGAACAACGAACCAAGUUACCCCAGGGAUAACAGCGCAAUCCUCUUCAAGAGCCCAUAUCGACAAGAGGGUUUACGACCUCGAUGUUGGAUCAGGACACCCAAUUAGUGCAGCCGCUAUUAAAGGUUCGUUUGUUCAACGAUUAAUAGUCCUACGUGAUCUGAGUUCAGACCGGAGC
rnacentral:rRNA from 1 species